CUCAAAAAAAUAAGUCUCAGUUCGGAUUGAAGGCUGAAAUUCGCCUUCAUGAAGCCGGAAUUGCUAGUAAUGGCAGGUCAGCAUACUGCCGUGAAUACGUUCCCGGGCCUUGUACACACCGCCCGUCACACCAUGAGAGUUGGGAAUACCCGAAGCCUGUGAGCUAACUUUUAGAGGCAGCAGUCGAAGGUAGAAUCAAUGAUUGGGGUGAAGUCGUAACAAGGUAGC
rnacentral:rRNA from 1 species